ensembl:misc_RNA 7SK 7SK RNA
AGAUGUGAGGGCGAUCUGGCUGCGAAAUCUGUCACCACACUGAUCACCAGGGUUGAUUCGGCUGAUCUGGCUGGCUAGGUGCGUGUCCCCUUCCUCCCUCAUGAUUCCACGUGCAUCCCUCCCCAAGCUGCUAGGUCAAAGAGGAUGGCCUUCCCUGAAUAGAGACGGACCUGUCUUCCGUUGAGGGUAUAAGGGUAGCUGUGCUCCCCUGCUAGAACCUCCAAACAAGCUCUCAUGAAUAAAUGCUUUUUCCAUUGGAUCGUCAAGCCAAUUCAUGUCCUUCACCAUCUUCUUCACUUUUAAAAAUUUAUUUUAGGG